rnacentral:rRNA from 1 species
AGUGAACGCUGGCGGUAGGCCUAACACAUGCAAGUCGAACGGCAGCACAGUAAGGGCUUGCUCUUACGGGUGGCGAGUGGCGGACGGGUGAGGAAUACAUCGGAAUCUACUUUUUCGUGGGGGAUAACGUAGGGAGACUUACGCUAAUACCGCAUACGACCUACGGGUGAAAGCAGGGGAUCUUCGGACCUUGCGCGAUUGAAUGAGCCGAUGUCGGAUUAGCUAGUUGGCGGGGUAAAGGCCCACCAAGGCGACGAUCCGUAGCUGGUCUGAGAGGAUGAUCAGCCACACUGGAACUGAGACACGGUCCAGACUCCUACGGGAGGCAGCAGUGGGGAAUAUUGGACAAUGGGCGCAAGCCUGAUCCAGCCAUACCGCGUGGGUGAAGAAGGCCUUCGGGUUGUAAAGCCCUUUUGUUGGGAAAGAAAAGCAGCAGGUUAAUACCCCGCUGUUCUGACGGUACCCAAAGAAUAAGCACCGGCUAACUUCGUG